GAUGAGUUUACUCUCAAAUGUAAGUUGUAAUGAGCUAAAUAAUUGUGUUUCUCGAUUGUUCUGUUUUUGUGAUCGUUGGCAGCAGAAAUCAUAAUCUUGAUUUAAAUAUUCAAUUAAUUGCACAGCCCUAACAGAGA